GUUAUUUCGUAGCACAUACUAAUAGCUACGAGCGGAAAGUAAACAGAAGUCUUGUUCAACAUGGCAGAGACCCACAGCUUGCAGGACAUGAGACAACAGGCAGCCAUCGCUGCCAAAGUCUUCAUCCAGAGGGAUUACACCAGCGGCACCGUGUGCCAGUUCCAAACCAAGUUCCCCUCUGAGCUGGAGUCCCGGAUCGACAAGCAGCAGUUUGAGGAGACGGUGCAGACACUGAACAAUCUGUACGCCGAAGCGGAGAAGCUGGGAAGCCAGUCAUACAUUGAAGGCUGUCUGGCCUGCCUCACAGCGUACAUCAUCUUCCUCUGUAUGGAGACUCACUAUGAGAAGGUGAGAGACAUUUCACUCACGUGGCACUUUAUGCUUUUAUCCCGCUUUGUCAACGAGAGUGGACGAAGAAAACAAUGUGUUUGAAGAAAAAAAAAAGUAAAAGCUUUGAUGCACUUGUAGUACUACCAUGUCAAAUUAUUUGGUGGUCCGCCUGUGAUUUCUAGGUGUGCUCUGGGCCUUUUCAGGGCCGGGGACAGGUGUUAACGGGCACCUCAGAAUUCUACUUGACUGAAAAAGUUUACACAGUUGACAUAGUGGCAAUUGACAGUUUUUCCAAAAUAAUUGCAGUCUCUGGAGCCUCUUGAUUCUUGAGGCGUCUUCAAACCUGCCUCACUGAAAAAAGCAGAGGGCCCCUCUCCCAACAUGAAACCCUAUGAGUCAACCAAAAGCAAAAUGGCACAUACAUUAAACAAACUAUAUACAGAUUAUACAAGCUAACAUAUGGUAACGCAUUAGUAUGAGCCGUGUGGGCAUUUCCAAAACAAUUACAUAAUGAACAGACAUUCCUGUGGUACACUACAAUUCAAAUAUUAUGAAUCACUGUCAUCCAAGACACAUUGUGGUAUAAGAAAAGUGUGAAUGUUCUACAAGUUGUUACAUGAGACAUUCCUCAUUUAAAUGACCUGGAGUCAUGUGAAAAUCCAUUAAGCUUCACGGUGAAAUGGCAGUCUUUCCAGAUUACUACGUCUAAGUGGGGGAUCACUUUCCUACACCAACACGCCUUAGUUGGGAAACAAAAUGACUGCUUUCUUUAAAGUGAGGAGCAACAGGAGUCCUUUCCAACACGUGGCGGAUAACGACGGUGGCCUUCAGGCUCUGUUUGGAUUGUCUGUUCUGGACUCCUGUAGAAUGAUGGUGGUGCUACAUGACGGACUCGGUGAAGAGGACACGCUCCAUAUGUAGAUAUAAACCAUUCGUUGUAUAAACCAUUUCUUGGGUAACAGAAACACAACAAUUCUUAGUUUAAGGUCAUUGAAAACAUAUGAACAUGAACAUUAUAAUAAUAAUACAUUUUAUUUUGUAUAGAGCUUUAAAAACACAAAAGGCACUUUACAUGGUAAAAACAGAAACAAUAAAAGCAAUAAUGAUACAAACGAGAGAUUCUCAAAAAUGUCUGCUCAUAAAUCUCCCUAAAUCCCGAGUAAUUUAAGCUUAAUUAAAUAAUGCAUUGCCAUCCACAUCGAAAGACAUCGAAAACCAACAAAAUACAUUGUUUAGAAGAAACAUGUGUACACGUCUUAAAAACUUUAUUCAGCCUUACUAAAGAAAAGUAAGCAAACACGUAUGUUGAACCUUUUUCAUCCAGUUUCACACCACAAAGCUUGCAAUAGAAGACAGAAUAGAGAGUCUACUAAGAGUCUGAAAACCACGCCAAACAGUCAACGCCACAAUAUGCAACCAAGGACUGAAACAUGUACAAAAUACCUUUAGCUACCUAAAAAACAAACAUGUUCUGUUAUGAUGACUACGUUUUACAUGUACACUAAAAUCUGUAAUUAUUUGAUACUGGUCAUGGAAAAAGGAUAUUCUGUUUGAUUGCAUUCUGCAUUAGGCCUCAUUAUGAAUGUAGCAGUUUCCAGUUAAGAAUAUGUUGAUAUUAAUCCUGUUUUAAGAGCAUCUUUUGGACAUACAGCACAUUGGCGCGUCUCAAUCAGGAUUUGAACCGCAGUUUGCAUCGCUCAGCCUCUUGCCCGUUCACGGCCAGCUCUGAGCAUUGUACACACAACAACUAGCCAACACUUCCAGGCCUGAGGUUUUGAAGAAGAUAGCGAAGUACAUAGAGGAGCAGAAUGACAAGAUCUACGGACCACGAGGCCUCCUGCUCACCGAUCCCAUCGAGAGAGGUCUGCGAGUC